rnacentral:rRNA from 1 species
AUUAGAUACCCUGGUAGUCCACGCUGUAAACGAUGGAUGCUGGAUGUCGGGGAGUAAUCCCCGGUGUCGUAGCCAACGCGAUAAGCAUCCCGCCUGGGGAGUACGGUCGCAAGGCUGAAACUCAAAGAAAUUGACGGGGGCCCGCACAAGCAGUGGAGUAUGUGGUUUAAUUCGAAGCAACGCGAAGAACCUUACCGGGUCUUGACAUCCUAAGAAUCCUUAAGAGAUUAGGGAGUGCCCUUCGGGGAACUUAGAGACAGGUGGUGCAUGGUUGUCGUCAGCUCGUGUCGUGAGAUGUUGGGUUAAGUCCCGCAACGAGCGCAACCCUUAUCUUCAGUAGCCAGCGGUCAGGCCGGGCACUCUGGAGAGACUGCCGGGGACAACCCGGAGGAAGGUGGGGACGACGUCAAAUCAUCAUGCCCCUUAUGAUUUGGGCUACACACGUGCUACAAUGGCGUAAACAAAGGGAAGCAGCCCUGUGAAGGUGAGCAAAUCCCAAAAAUAACGUCCCAGUUCGGAUUGUAGUCUGCAACCCGACUACAUGAAGCUGGAAUCGCUAGUAAUCGCGGAUCAGAAUGCCGCGGUGAAUACGUUCCCGGGUCUUGUACACACCGCCCGUCACACCAUGGGAGUUGGAAAUGCCCGAAGCCGGUGACCGAACCUUAGGGACGGAGCCGUCGAAGGUGGAGCCAAUGACUGGGGUGAAGUCGUAACAAGGUACCAAGGGCGA